UGUAUAUAUUGAAACACCUGCCAACUUGGCUGCUAAAUUAUUUAUUCCGAUGCUUUGUCAAACGUUAGAGUCGGUCCCUUACCUUAAAAAAAAAAAUAUUGGCCAUCGUGGAAUCAUAUACAGUAAAUAAUAAAAAAUUAUAAAAAUUAACAUCCCUUCAAUUUUAGUCCAAUUUUAUUUAUACAUCUCUAUUUUAAAAAAAUAUCAAAUUGACCAUUCUAGUUAUUGAUAUAUUGGGUAUAAAAUACCCUCAGCCGAAGUUCUCAGCGGGAUUGAUCCUCCCAAGACUCUUCCGGCUUUCGACUGCAGAUGAUACCUCUCCGGACUUCUCCAAUAACCGGAUUUCCACAGUGCUGACUGAACUCCCCCGACGGGCGAACUCCUACUGCGCCGCCCAAACUCCUUCAACAUGAGUUCCCCCAGUCGCCUAUCAAGCCGCCCCAAGCGCUCACUAAGCUCUGCCGCCAGCCGAC
rnacentral:lncRNA from 1 species